rnacentral:rRNA from 1 species
AACGCUGGCGGCGUGUCUAACAAUGCAAGUCGAACGUCCUUCCUUUCUUUUUCGGAGGAGGGGGAGGGAGUGGCGGACGGGUGAGUAACACAUGGGUGACCUGGCCCGAAGUGAGGGAUACCGGUGAGAAAUUGCCGACAAGCCCGCAUAGGCUCUUUUCUGUGGUGAGGAGAGAGCAAAGCCUGAAAAGGUGCUUUGGGAUGGGCCUGUGGCCGAUUAGCUAGUUGGUGGGGUAAGAGCCUACCAAGGCGACGAUCGGUAGCUGGUCUGAGAGGACGAUCAGCCACACUGGGAUUGAGAACGGCCCAGACUCCUACGGGGGGCAGCAGUGAGGAAUUUUCGGCAAUGGGGGCAACCCUGACCGAGCAACGCCGCGUGCAGGAGGACGCUUUUCGGAGUGUAAACUGCUUUUUUUUGGGAAGAGCAAGGACGGUACCAGAGGAAGAAGCCCCGGCUAACUA